rnacentral:rRNA from 1 species
AUUGAACGCUGGCGGCAGGCCUAACACAUGCAAGUCGAACGAGUGGCGGACGGGUGAAUAAUGUCUGGGAAACUGCCUGAUGGAGGGGGAUAACUACUGGAAACGGUAGCUAAUACCGCAUACAAUGGUAUGUGCCCAUAGGGGUUGAGAUAGUGGGGGGGGAAAAGGCUCACCAAGGCGACGAUCCCUAGCUGGUCUGAGAGGAUGACCAGCCACACUGGAACUGAGACACGGUCCAGACUCCUACGGGAGGCAGCAGUGGGGAAUAUUGCACAAUGGGCGCAAGCCUGAUGCAGCCAUGCCGCGUGUAUGAAGAAGGCCUUCGGGUUGUAAAGUACUUUCAGCGGGGAGGCGUUACCCGAAGAAGAAGCACCGGCUAACUCCGUGCCAGCAGCCGCGGUAAUAC